UUUGUUUCAGACUCUGUCCUUGAUUCAUUGCCAAUCCCCUCUGGACUUCCUAUUUUGGACAAUUCCUGUGGGUCUUGGACUAUCCUUCAGGCUGGCUGUGCCCAAACACUAAGUGGCUCUUGUCACCCCAUAGACUUGGAGGCUAUCAGCCAAAUGCCAUAAACUUGGAAUGCAAAGAAAAUCUGCUCUUUGACCCACUGUGUUCUCACUGGGAUUUUCAGAACUCCAGGGGUCCCACAGAGAAACCUCCGUGGUCACCCCAGAGUCAAAGGAGGGUGACAAACACGAUGAGUUCUAAUGGAGUUCCCACUGUGGUUCAGCGCGUUGGGAGCCUGACUAGUAUCCAUGAGGAACUCCUGUGUUGAGCCUCUUUUAUUGCCUUCAUAGCAUCCCCGCUCCUCUCUAGCUGCCUCCAUUCUCUUCUCACUUCCUUUAUCAUAAACUGUCUACUCCAAAGCAGACUUUCCUGCGUGUGCACCCCCACUUCCACCCCUCCCCACGACCAUCACCACAAAAGCAGCCAACAGAGCCUCUCCCUUCCCAUGCUCAAAAUCUGUUCAUUGAAUUUCAUUAUAAAUUGUUGCAUUGGGUAAAUAUACCUGACAGAGCUGCUGGAGUUAUUCCUUUAUCCUGGGGUUUAUCCUAAAGUCUAUUAUUUUCCUUUUCCUCAUUGCACACACUGUCAGGUGGUCAUUGCCCCUUUUCAUCUGGACACAUUUCAGAAGUCUCACAUACUGUACAAGUGAUUUGAGUCUGGGACUUCAUCUAAACAAAUUUGUAUCCAGGUUGUGGAUGCAGUGUUGUGAAGAUAAAAUGUGAAGGAUAUUGAGAAAUGGCUUUUUUUUUUUUUUUACUACUGUGUCUGUUCCCAAGCUGGAAGGCCUAUGCAAAGCAUCAGGCUAGAAUGAGCCUCUUUUUAUUCCAAAAUGUGUCCUAUAGUUUUCAUGCUUUUCCUGGGUUUGAAAAAUGAUUACAUUUUGAUAAAAAAAAAAAAAAAGGCCUCUACUUGACUCCAGACUCCAAGGGUAGCGAAAUACAUCAAAAGAGAUGAAACAAAGGAUAUUAGGACCUCAUUUGCUUCAUUAUGCUAAUUAGAACUGGAAAACAAAAAGCCCCAUUAAGCUUUUUAAAGGUCAACCCACAGAAUGGGAGAAAAUAUUUGUAAAUCACAUAUCUGAUAAGUGACUUGUAUCUAGAAUGUAUAAAGAACUCUUACAAUUCAAUAAUAAAAACGACAAAUAUCUGAAUUUGAAAAUGGAC
rnacentral:lncRNA from 1 species